AUUGAACGCUGGCGGCAGGCCUAACACAUGCAAGUCGAACGGUAACAGGAAGAAGCUUGCUUCUUUGCUGACGAGUGGCGGACGGGUGAGUAAUGUCUGGGAAACUGCCUGAUGGAGGGGGAUAACUACUGGAAACGGUAGCUAAUACCGCAUAACGUCGCAAGACCAAAGAGGGGGACAUUCGGGCCUCUUGCCAUCGGAUGUGCCCAGAUGGGAUUAGCUAGUAGGUGGGGUAACGGCUCACCUAGGCGACGAUCCCUAGCUGGUCUGAGAGGAUGACCAGCCACACUGGAACUGAGACACGGUCCAGACUCCUACGGGAGGCAGCAGUGGGGAAUAUUGCACAAUGGGCGCAAGCCUGAUGCAGCCAUGCCGCGUGUAUGAAGAAGGCCUUCGGGUUGUAAAGUACUUUCAGCGGGGAGGAAGGGAGUAAAGUUAAUACCUUGGCUCAUUGACGUUACCCGCAGAAGAAGCACCGGCUAACUCCGUG
rnacentral:rRNA from 1 species